rnacentral:rRNA from 1 species
GAUGAACGCUGGCGGCGUGUCUAAUCCAUGCAAGUCGAGCGAACGGACGAGUAGCUUGUUUCUCUGAUGUUAGCGGUGGACGGUUGUGUAACACGUGGAUAACCUAUCUAUAAGUCUGGGAUCACUUCGGUCAACCGGCGCUAAUACCGGAUUAUAUUUUGUAACGCAUGGUUCCCAAGUGCAAGACGGUCUUUCUGUCUUUUUUAGAUGGAUCCGCGCUGCCUUAGCUAGUUGGUAAGGUAACGGCGUACCAAGGCAACGAUUGAUAGCCGACUUGAGAGGGUGAACAGCCACACUGGAACUGAGACACGGUCCAGACUCCGACGGGAGGCAGCAGUAGGGAAUCUUCCGCAAUGGUCGAAAGCCUGACGGAGCAACGCCGCGUGAGUGAUGAAGGUCUUCGGAUCGUAAAACUCUGUUAUUAGGGAAGAACAUAUGUGUAAGUAACUGUUCACAUCUUGACGGUACCUAAUCAGAAAGCCACGGCUAACUACGUG